GGUUUCCUCACGCAUGACACCUGGACACGUCUUUGACAUGUACAGAAAGUUUUUGCAUCAAUUGCGUCGCGUGUUGUUUCACGUAGAGAGACAGAGACGAAAGGUUACUGUAAAAUCAGCAGUACCAGGGACGCAAGCCACGGAGAGGAGAGAGCACGAGCCUAUCGCAAAGAUAUCAUGCAGGUUGUUACAGCAACUUCGUCCCUUUGUCGUGUGCUUGCCGUUGUGCAUCAUCCACAGAAUGGCGUUGGUCUAGGGCUUGCGAUGCCCGUAGGAGAUAUGUGUUCACGAAAAAGAACAAACAUCCGCCGCCAUACGUGUUUGGUUGCCACUUAGAGAGUUCCGCGGCCGUUUCCUCCAGGGUGGUUUCAGCAUGAAAACAGUCGGGCCGUGACGGUAAUGUGAGUUUCUUGAGGGACACGUUUCCGUGCAAUGCGGUCGCUUUCCUCUAACAACGAGACCGAGAGUGUUAUUUAGACUGUAAGCCCUUCUGUGCCACCUCGAUCUGUAUCUGGCUGCUCGUCGAAGGAAACAAAGCAGGAAGGUCAAGGUGAGCGACGGAUACCCGGGUUUUCGUCUGAAUACUGUCCUCCCCCUGCGCCACCUGCUAACGACAACAGGGAUCUGAGGCAAAUCUAGGUGCAAGACCUCGUACACGGGGAAGUUGGAGAAGACUGUACCCGACAUGCCUUGAAUUGUAGCAGGCAGAAAACAGACGUGUCCCGCAAGCGGUCAUCGUCGGUCAUGGCCGUCAUCUUCCUUCUUUUAAAAACAACUGGAUAGAUUUCUCCGAGUUUGGUUUGUUUGCUCAACGCUGCGUGGCCCUGGUCAGGAUUUCGGUCCCUUCACAGUCGUCCGAACGAACAUUGUGUGUUGCACCGCCUUCGUAUUUGGAUGCAUCUAUGAGAAGGCUGAAUCGAGAAGCAUCAUUUCUGCCACUGGCAAAAAAAUUUUAUCUGACAAUGGUUUCAGAUGUUCCUUCAAGUAGAGGACAGCGUCGCUGUCUCCUUGUAGCAGGAUGCCCCCACGGCGAAACUGUAUAAUUGUAGAUACUCUUAAGUAGGAGGCGUCGAGGCCGUCGAUUUAUUUCCACGUCAGGGGGCGCAUAAGGGCCUUCGGUGAAGAAUUAACAUAUUCCGCAUUCCGUAAGCUCUGACGAAACCAAGGUUAGAUGAGGUUUUGUCUGAGACGUUUAACAUCCACCAAAAAAUGGCAUUCAUGGACACAGUAUUGAGUUCCAGCAUGGCAAGUGACUGAAAUCACUGAUUUUUACCUCGCCCGUAUACAACUUCAGAGCAACUGUGUAUCAGUCUCAGACAGUGUUUUUGUGACGACCUCUUAUCAGCACUCGUUGAGUCGUUGUGUGACUGCAUCGUGGAACCCUGAGACACGCAGUUCAAACCGCCCACAUCUAAUUUUGUGGAAUCACUAAACUCCCUCAAGAGGCGAACCCCUCUAGAGUCAUCGGUAGAUGUUUCGCGUGGGCAUGUUUUUCUAUGGUGGAGAAUUGUGUUGUCCGGACGGUGGAAAAUGCAGGGAUGGCAAAACGCGCAAACAACCUCGGUGUUGCCAUCAUAGUUUCCUCCGAAGUCAGGGUGGGGAUGUAGAAUGCAAGAG
rnacentral:lncRNA from 1 species